rnacentral:rRNA from 1 species
CCAAGCUACAAAGAGCCAACGGUGGAUGCCUUGGCGCCUGGAGCCGAUGAAGGACGUGGGAGGCUGCGAUAAGCCACGGGGAGCUGCCGACCAAGCUUCGAUCCGUGGAUGUCCGAAUGGGGAAACCCGGCACCCGUCUGGGGUGUCACUCCAGCCUGAACGCAUAGGGCUGGCAGAGGGAACCGGGGGAACUGAAACAUCUCAGUACCUCGAGGAAAGGAAAGCAACAGCGACUCCCUGAGUAGCGGCGAGCGAAACGGGAAGAGCCUAAACCUGACCGGUGGUAAAGCCUGGUGGCGUUGCCGGUCGGGGGUCGUGGGACCGAGCAGGGGAGGCACCAGACUCCCCACGGAGUGACAAAGCCUCGAUCUAGCAGAAGCGUUCUGGAACGUCGCACCGCAGAGGGUAAGAGUCCCGUACGCAAAAGGUCAGAGGCCUCCGGCUCGGCACCCGAGUAGCGCCGGAUCCGGGAAAGCCGGUGUGAAUCUGCGAGGACCACCUCGUAAGGCUAAGUACUACCAGGCGACCGAUAGCGGACAAGUACCGUGAGGGAAAGGUGAAAAGCACCCCGGAGGGGAGUGAAAUAGUACCUGAAACCGUUGGCUUACAAACAGUCAGAGCGUCGUCGGUCGGUCUCCGGACCGGCCGGCCGUGAUGGCGUGCCUUUUGAAGAAUGAGCCAGGGAGUUACCGUGUGUGGCGAGGUUAACCCGUGAGGGGGAGCCGGAGCGAAAGCGAGUCUGAAGAGGGCGUACAGUCGCAUGCGGUAGACCCGAAGCCGAGUGAUCUAUCCAUGGGCAGGCUGAAGCGGGGGUAAGACUCCGUGGAGGGCCGAACCCACUCUGGUUGAAAACAGGGGGGAUGACCUGUGGAUAGGGGUGAAAGGCCAAUCAAACUCGGUGAUAGCUGGUUCUCCCCGAAAUGCAUUUAGGUGCAGCGUCAGGCGUUCAGCAUCGGAGGUAGAGCACUGAAUGGGCUAGGGGGCCCACAAGCUUACCGACCCCAAUCAAACUCCGAAUGUCGAUGCUCCAGAGCCUGGCAGUGAGACACGGGGGAUGAGCUUCGUUGGUCGAGAGGGAAACAGCCCAGACCGCCAGCUAAGGCCCCAAAUUCUUGGCUAAGUGGAAAACGAUGUGGGAACGCGAAGACAGCCAGGAGGUUGGCUUAGAAGCAGCCAUCCUUGAAAGAGUGCGUAAUAGCUCACUGGUCGAGUGGUCCUGCGCGGACAAUGUAACGGGGCUCAAGCCAAGAGCCGAAGCUGCGGACUUCGAUUCCGCCCUGGACGCCUUCGGGCGGCCGGGGAGUUCCGGGUCGGAGUGGUAGGGGAGCGUCGAGCGUGCCGGGAAGCGGCGGUGGGAACCGACGUGGAGCGCGCUCGAGUGCGAAUCCUGGCAUGAGUAGCGAGAGAGGGGUGAGAAACCCCUCCGCCGGAAGCCCAAGGGUUCCUGGGGAAGGCUAAUCCACCCAGGGUGAGUCGGGAGCUAAGGCGAGGCCGAGAGGCGUAGUCGAUGCACAACCGGUUGAUAUUCCGGUACCACCGUGCCCGCGCCCAACCCAAGCCAGGUGUCCUAAGGGGCUGACCUUCGGGUCGAACCGACCGAUCCUGGGGAGGGUAGCGAUGAGGGGACGCAGGAGGGUAGGUGAACCCAGGCGCUGGUUGUCCUGGGGUAAGCGUGUAGGGCGAGGUCUAGGCAAAUCCGGGCCUCACACAGCCUGAGACGCGACGCCGAGCCGAUCCAGGUGAAGUCACUGAUCCCAUGCUGCCGAGAAAAGCCUCUAGCGAGCUGGCACGGUGCCCGUACCCCAAACCGACACAGGUGGCAGGUAGAGAAUACCGAGGCGAUCGGGAGAACUGUGGUUAAGGAACUCGGCAAAUUGCAUCCGUAACUUCGGGAGAAGGAUGGCCCCGUUAGGUGAAGGACCUCGCGUCCGGAGCUCGAGGGGGUGGCAGAUACCAGGGGGAAGCGACUGUUUACUAAAAACACAGGAGCGUGCGAAGUCCUAAGACGAUGUAUACGCUCUGACGCCUGCCCGGUGCCGGAAGGUUACGGGGAAGGGUUAGCCUUCGGGCGAAGCUCUGAACCUAAGCCCCGGUAAACGGCGGCCGUAACUAUAACGGUCCUAAGGUAGCGAAAUUCCUUGUCGGGUAAGUUCCGACCUGCACGAAUGGCGUAACGACUUCCCCACUGUCUCAACCACAGACCCGGCGAAAUUGAAGUACGAGUAAAGAUGCUCGUUCGCUGCAUCAGGACGGAAAGACCCCGUGGACCUUUACUACAGCUUGAUGUUGGGGUUUGGUACGGAUUGUGUAGGAUAGGUGGGAGACUGUGAAGCCUCGGCGCCAGUCGGGGUGGAGUCGCCGUUGAAAUACCACCCUUUUCGUGCCGGGCCCCUAACCUGGGCCCGUGAUCCGGGUCAGGGACCGCGUCAGGUGGGUAGUUUGACUGGGGCGGUCGCCUCCUAAAAGGUAACGGAGGCGCCCAAAGGUUCCCUCAGGCUGGUUGGCAAUCAGCCGUCGAGUGCAAUGGCAGAAGGGAGCUUGACUGCGAGACCUACAAGUCGAGCAGGUGCGAAAGCAGGGCAUAGUGAUCCAGCGGUUGCGUGUGGAAGCGCCGUUGCUCAACGGAUAAAAGGUACCCCGGGGAUAACAGGCUCAUCUUCCCCAAGAGUCCAUAUCGACGAAGGUUUGGCACCUCGAUGUCGGCUCGUCGCAUCCUGGGGCUGAAGCCGGUCCCAAGGGUUGGGCUGUUCGCCCAUUAAAGCGGUACGCGAGCUGGGUUUAGAACGUCGUGAGACAGUUCGGUCCCUAUCCGAUGCAGCCGCAGGAGACCUGAGGAAGGCUGUCCCUAGUACGAGAGGACCGGGACGGACGUAGCUCUCGUGUGCCAGUUGUCCUGCCAAGGGCACGGCUGGUUUGCGACCUACGGCUGGGAUAAGCGCUGAAAGCAUCUAAGCGCGAAGCCCGUUCCAAGAUGAGGUCUCCCACAGGGUAACCUGGUAAGGCCCGUGGCUAGACGACCACGUUGAUAGGCCGGAGGUGUACGCACGGCAACGUGUUCAGCCGACCGGUACUAAUCGGCCGAGGGCUUGGAGAG